rnacentral:tRNA from 1 species
GUGGCUGGGGCUCAGGGGUAGAGCGCUCGCCUCGCACGUAGGAAGCCCUGGGUGCGAUCCUCAGCACCACA